AUAGUUUAAAAAAUUUGUUAAUCAUGAUGAUUAAGUUUUCACAAUAAUGUGUGAGCUGUGCCUCUCUCAAACCUUAUUAUGAUGUUGGCCCAUUACUCAUCUGAUG
ensembl:snoRNA